GGAAUUUUGGACAAUGGGCGCAAGCCUGAUCCAGCAAUGCCGCGUGAGUGAAGAAGGCCUUCGGGUUGUAAAGCUCUUUUGUCAGGGAAGAAACGGGUUUUUCUAAUACAGAGACCUAAUGACGGUACCUGAAGAAUAAGCACCGGCUAACUACGUGCCAGCAGCCGCGGUAAUACGUAGGGUGCAAGCGUUAAUCGGAAUUACUGGGCGUAAAGCGUGCGCAGGCGGUUUUGUAAGACUGUCGUGAAAUCCCCGGGCUCAACCUGGGAAUGGCGAUGGUGACUGCAAGGCUAGAGUUUGGCAGAGGGGGGUAGAAUUCCACGUGUAGCAGUGAAAUGCGUAGAUAUGUGGAGGAACACCGAUGGCGAAGGCAGCCCCCUGGGUCAAAACUGACGCUCAUGCACGAAAGCGUGGGGAGCAAACAGGAUUAGAUACCCCAG
rnacentral:rRNA from 1 species